rnacentral:lncRNA from 1 species
UGGGAUCCAAAUGUGUUGGCUGGCCAGGUUAAUAAUCUAUUUAGUGCUGUAACUUUUUUCGUAUCAUGUAUGGGAUACAAAAAAUUAAAAUAUGGUCAUAAAUUCUUGGUAGGUGAAAUUUCGUGCAAGUGUUGGAAGGGAAGUCGUGUGAGGGAUCGUGGAUUGUACCCAGGUGAAAUGGGAGUGGUAAUGACAGUUUACUCAUCUCUCUGAGUUUCGGUUUUAUGAGAACUACAAUUACUGACCUAAAACCCAGACACGUAAACCGAUAAAAGAUCCAGAGCAAAAGUCAAAACCGUGCUUCGGUUUUCCUAUUGAAAUAAUAGAUACACACAUUUAAUUGGUUUGACCAUGUUGGCAUUUGAAUCUAAAGGUUAUCCAG